UACGUAGGGUGCAAGCGUUGUCCGGAAUUAUUGGGCGUAAAGAGCUCGUAGGCGGUCUGUCGCGUCGGGUGUGAAAACCCGAGGCUCAACCUCGGGCCUGCAGUCGAUACGGGCAAACUAGAGUACUGCAGGGGAGACUGGAAUUCCUGGUGUAGCGGUGAAAUGCGCAGAUAUCAGGAGGAACACCGGUGGCGAAGGCGGGUCUCUGGGCAGUAACUGACGCUGAGGAGCGAAAGCGUGGGGAGCGAACAGG
rnacentral:rRNA from 1 species